rnacentral:lncRNA from 1 species
CUCUUCCUGCCUUGCAGUUGACUACCUUCUUGCUGUGUCCUCACAUGGUGGAGAGAGAGAGAGGACGAGCGCUGGUUCUGGUUCCAACUUCCAGGGCAACACGAACGGAGUCAGCCCUUUAGAAGACAUCUAGAACAAAUCUUCUCUCUCCACUCGAAAGUCACAGCUCCCUCACCUGUUCUUCAUGCUCAGGGUUGCCGUCCAUACUUCCAUCUCAAAGGAUCAGCCUUUGUAAGGAGGACCUUGAUGUGGGCAGCCAGGAAGAGGCUUGCCAGGAUCAAGAGACAUCACCGCAGAGCCGGGAGGCUGGUCUCCGAGUCAGGAAGUGCAGGGCAACACUCAGCUCAGACCCUAAGAUGUACCCCGGGUCAGACAAUGUGACCAGUACCCCAGGAAUUCCACGACAGCCACACAGAAGAAUUACGCGGAUGGAGCAAGAGGGUCUUUCCGCCACAUCUCCCAACAGGAAAAUCAAUUCAACAAAUAUUUAUUGAGCACUUACUCUGUGCAAGGCAUGGUCUGGAUAUUAAAAAGAAAAAUGGUAUGACCUUGGGGUGG